CCUGAGGAGGGCUGGACGGCUGGGUUGCAGACAGGCCCGUGUGUCUCAGCCCCGUCCUUGGCCAAGGCCGGAAGAUCCUGAUUAACAUGAAAACGAAAGACAAUUGGGCGUCCUCGGCGGGCGGCCGGCUUCUGUGCGGCUGAGGGGGGAAGGUAAUCAUUCUAUCACUGUCUUUCGUGGCCAAUUAGAUGAUUCAGCAUAUUCCCGGCCUCUCUCUCUCUCUCUCCGCUGAGGUGAUUUAUAGUGAGCCAGCGCCAGAUGGGGUUGUGUGCGAGACAUGAAAACAUUGGCGGGGCCUCUCACAGCCACCCCGGCUGCUGACAGCUUCUAUUGGAGAAAUUCUCCUCUCAGGCGAAAAUAGCUACUUGCGGGGAUCUCCUCACGGGUGGAAUGAGAAGGGGGGGGGCAGGAGGGUAGAGGUUAGCCCACUCGGCUGUGGUGGGAGAAGAGCUUCGGGAAAACAGCCGAGAAGGCGGUGGCUCGGAAGGAGGCAAGAGGGGCAGGGCUGCUUUGCCCCUGAUGCCUGAGCUCCCGUGUCUGGGGCCUGCAGCGGCAAGGGGGCCUGAUGCCUGGGGCGCAGGGGUGAGCCGCCAUGAUGGGAACGUGUGCGUGCACUUGGGAUGGGCCCGAGACGGGCCUCGGCAUCCGCAUUCUCGUAGGUGUUUUGACGGGCCGCUCUGGGUAAUCGCUUUGAUGGGUGGCUCUGUCCAUCCUGGGCAGUGGGUAGAUCGCGUAGCUACUGAGCCGGGAGGGUGAAGGAAGCUGGGCUGUGUCCUCAGGGGUAAGGAAGCCCCAACAUAAUCCUCCUGAAGGAGUCAACGGUGGGCCCCGACGGCUCUGUGUUGUUCGGACGCUAGGAGUUGUUUCCGUCCAUCCGUCUUUCCAAGAAAGAGAGCCUCCAGCUUCUGUAAUGAACUCUGGAUGCCACCCAUAGAACACUGACCAUUCCCGGCCACUCCCUAAGUCACUUAUUGGAAGGCUGAGAGGCCUGGCCUGACAUCGAGUACCACCCUCAUCACCGCCGUCAUCAGUGCUGAUCCACGUCAUUUUCCCUCACGCUUGUGAAAUACCUAUCAUAUGCCAGCAAUUAUUCCAGAUGCCUUACAUGCCUCAUUUAUUUCCCAAGACGAUCCUUUGGCUAUUAGCAUUCUGUGAUGGUUAAUUGAAUGUGGCAACCUGACUGGGCCGUGGGGUGCCCAGACAUUAUUCUGUGUGUGUCUGGGAGGAUGUUUCCGGAUGAGACUAACAAUUGAAUUGGUAGACUGAGUAAGCAAAUUGCCCGCCCCGGUGUGGGUGGGCCUCAUCCAAUCAGUUGAAGAUAUGAAUAAAACCAAAAGUCUGAGUUCGAAGAAACUUUGGCCUGCCUGCUUGUUGAACUGGGACAUUGGUUUCCUGCCCUCAGAGUGAAACUUACAGCGUCAGCUCUCGGGCCUUCAGACUUAGACUGGGACUGCACCACGGGCUCUCCUGGCUCCCCGGCUUGCUGACUGCAGAUCUUGGAACUUCUCAGCCUCCAUAAUCAUGCGCCAUCGUGGAAGGAUUACUGAGAAUUCUCCAGGGCUGCCUUGCCGCGUGCUGGGCUCUCAAACCUCAGUGACCUGAGACCGCUGGUGAUGUCGUGGAAGCUGGAAGGUGAGCAAACUGGCUUCUAGGUCCACCUGGCUGUUGGCAGGCCGUGUGGCCAUCCCUCUGCACUUGGGUUUUGUCAGCCGUCGAGAGGGAGGUAGAGCCUCGAGCAUGUCUGUUGCCCGGGAGUCCUGUGAUUCACAGCCCGAGUGCUUCAUGAUAAACGUAUCCAGCCGCAGAGGGAGGAACCUGGAGGGUGGCAGUUCAGGUUUGUAGCCGAAGUCUGCCCUUUCCUGAGACUUUGGGCAGGUUCCUUAACCUCUCCUGGCCUGUUUCUGUCAAACGGGGCUAACGACACCAACUCCCGGGAUUGCCGAGAUUGUUAGAGGUAAUGCCCGCACUGUGUUAAUGUAGUGGCCACAUGAGCUGCGGUAUUUCCUGCCCCUCCUGACUCAGUUUACGUCACCGUGGCUCACUGUCCCAGCCUGAGGACUAAAAGUGUCACCCAUUUCUCUCACCGUUUUUUCCCCUUCUUUCUUGUUUCCUGGCUCUUUUCCCCGAUGCCUUUCUUUUUUCCAACAAGCAGUUGCUAAGGAGCUCUCUAUAUGUGCAUUUGCGUUGUUUCUCUCAAGGUCACGUUUCCACCAGCUUUCGGAAUGUGAGGCAAGCAGCCUUCCUUCUCCUCAGCCUGGCAUCACGUGACCGCUCAAAGUGGGGAGGAGGGCGGAGGCUGCCUGCGCGGGGCCGUGUGUGCAUGUAGAGAGACACCUGUGUACGCAUACGUGUGCGUAGGGCAGAAACCCACAUAUGGAUGUGUGUAUAUAUACACGUGGAUGCCCACGUGUGUACACGUGUGCACUCCUGGAUGCCCACAGAUAGUGCACAUGCGUGCACGUGAGGACACCCGUGUAUACACCAAAACACGAUUCUCUAACAGAUGCACAAAUGGGUCUCGUAAGACUUUCUUCUUCCCCUUCCCCCAAAGUGUAAAAUUGCCAGUGACUAUCAAGUCGUGUCUCCCGGGUUUGAAGGAAGUAGGAUGUGUCCGGGUAACAGGAAAGAAUCCAUGCCAGAUGGUGCUCGUUUCGUCUUGAAGGCCAACAGGUUGAGAUGUGCCUUCACCCAGAGGGGAGAGAAAAUUCUUAAAUCAAUCAAACAAACUAAGCAAGGUGGGGAAGAGACAUACCACGUUCAUGGAUCAGAAGACUCCACAUGGCAAGGAUGCCAGUCUCCUCCCAAAUCGAUCGAUAUGGUUAACACAAGUCUAACGGACACCGCAGCAGGAUUUCUUGUAGGUAUAGACAAGCCGAUUCUAAACUGUAUGUGGAAAAGCAAAGAAGAAAAUUGGAAGAAUUACACUACUUGAUUUUAAGACUUACUACAGUAUGACAGCGUGAUACUGGUGGAGGGAUAGGCCUAUAAAUCGAUGGAAUAAAAUACAGAGUCCGCACAUA